rnacentral:tRNA from 1 species
GGGAGCUUAGCUCAGUUGGUUCAGAGCAUCUCGUUUACACCGAGAGGGUCGGCGGUUCGAGCCCGUCAGUUCCCACCA